UGGGGAAUCUUGGACAAUGGGGGCAACCCUGAUCCAGCCAUGCCGCGUGAGUGAUGAAGGCCCUAGGGUCGUAAAGCUCUUUCGCCUGUGAAGAUAAUGACGGUAGCAGGUAAAGAAACCCCGGCUAACUCCGUGCCAGCAGCCGCGGUAAUACGGAGGGGGUUAGCGUUGUUCGGAAUUACUGGGCGUAAAGCGCACGUAGGCGGACCAGAAAGUUGGGGGUGAAAUCCCGGGGGCUCAACCCCGGAACUGCCUCCAAAACUAUUGGUCUAGAGUUCGAGAGAGGUGAGUGGGAAUUCCAAGUGUAGAGGUGAAAUUCGUAGAUAUUCGGAGGAACACCAGUGGCGAAGGCGGCUCACUGGCUCGAUACUGACGCUGAGGUGCGAAAAGUGUGGGGAGCAAAACAGGAUUAGAUACCCUGGUAGUCCACGCCGUAAAACGAU
rnacentral:rRNA from 1 species